GAAUUUGGCGGUGUUUUAGUCUUUUUAGAGGAAUUUGCCCUUUAAUCGAUAAUCCUCGUUUUAUCUAGCUUUAUUUUGUUUUCAGUAUGUAUACCGCCGUUAUAAGUUUAUUUUAUUAGAAUUUAAAUUUACAUUAAUCUUUAUUUUGAUUUAUUUCAGGUCAAGGUGCAGCUUAUAAUUAAGUAGAGGUGAAUUACAAUAUUUUUAGUAUACGGAUAUAUAUUUUAUAAUUAUAUUGAAGGUGGAUUUAAUAGUAAUUUUAAUAAUAAUGUUAAAUUGAUUUUGGCUCUAAAAUAAGUACACAUCGCCCGUCGCUCUA
rnacentral:rRNA from 1 species